rnacentral:tRNA from 1 species
UCCCUGGUGGUUUAGUGGUUAGGAUUCUCGGCUUUCAUUGCUGUGGCCCAGGUUCAGUUCCUGGUUAGGGAA